UCAUACUUACCUUGCCUUCCCCCCACCCUCGGGCCUCCCCCGGUAAGAAGAUAAGCAUCUUUGGGAGUGAGAAUUUUUAAAUAAGAUUGUUUAUGAAUCAAGGAACAGUUAUUAAUACCUAAAGUGCAUUCAUAUGGUGAUUGUUUUCUGGUGAUGAGAAUGAGAAGUGUUAUUUCUCUAUUAAAUUAUGGAAGCUACUAUAUUAUGCACGCCAUACUGAUGUGCCAGCUCUGUUUCUCUCUACUCACAGUGAUGCUUGGAGUUUCAUUUUCAAACCUGAUACCUCCAUAAAUUGGCCUGAAUGUUUUGUGCGUACAUGAGUAU
rnacentral:lncRNA from 1 species